CGUGCCAGCAGCCGCGGUAAUACGUAGGGGGCAAGCGUUAUCCGGAUUUACUGGGCGUAAAGGGUGCGUAGGUGGUCCUUCAAGUCGGUGGUUAAAGGCUACGGCUCAACCGUAGUAAGCCGCCGAAACUGGAGGACUUGAGUGCAGGAGAGGAAAGUGGAAUUCCCAGUGUAGCGGUGAAAUGCGUAGAUAUUGGGAGGAACACCAGUAGCGAAGGCGGCUUUCUGGACUGCAACUGACACUGAGGCACGAAAGCGUGGGUAGCAAACAGGAUUAGAUACCCUGGUAGUCCACGCUGUAAACGAUGAGUACUAGGUGUCGGGGGUUACCCCCCUCGGUGCCGCAGCUAACGCAUUAAGUACUCCGCCUGGGGAGUACGCACGCAAGUGUGAAACUCAAAGGAAUUGACGGGGACCCGCACAAGUAGCGGAGCAUGUGGUUUAAUUCGAAGCAACGCGAAGAACCUUACCUAAGCUUGACAUCCCUCGGACAGGUGUUUAAUCACACCCUUCCUUCGGGACUGAGGUGACAGGUGGUGCAUGGUUGUCGUCAGCUCGUGUCGUGAGAUGUUGGGUUAAGUCCCGCAACGAGCGCAACCCUUGUCUUUAGUUGCCAGCAUUCAGUUGGGCACUCUAGAGAGACUGCCAGGGAUAACCUGGAGGAAGGUGGGGAUGACGUCAAAUCAUCAUGCCCCUUAUGCUUAGGGCUACACACGUGCUACAAUGGGUGGUACAGAGGGUUGCCAAACCGUGAGGUGGAGCCAAUCCCUUAAAGCCAUUCUCAGUUCGGAUUGUAGGCUGAAACUCGCCUACAUGAAGCUGGAGUUACUAGUAAUCGCAGAUCAGAAUGCUGCGGUGAAUGCGUUCCCGGGUCUUGUACACACCGCCCGUCACACCACGGGAGUCGGAAACACCCGAAGCCGAUUAUCCAACCGCAAGGAGGAAGUCGUCGAAGGUGGCGUCGAUAACUGGGGUGAAGUCGUAACAAGGUAGCCGUAUCGGAAGGUGCGGCUG
rnacentral:rRNA from 2 species